CCUUAGCCCUGAUGGGAGCGGCAUCCUUUUCCGGCUUUUUUAAGCCGGAAAAGAUAUAGCGUACAGCGGGAAAUAGC
rnacentral:sRNA from 1 species